rnacentral:rRNA from 1 species
GACGAACGCUGGCGGCGUGCUUAACACAUGCAAGUCGAGCGGAAAGGCCCCUUCGGGGGUACUCGAGCGGCGAACGGGUGAGUAUCACGUGAGUAAUCUGCCCUUGGCUUCGGGAUAGCUUCGGGAAACCGAAAUUAAUACCGGAUACGACACGGUCUCGCAUGGGAUCCGUGUGGAAAGUUUUUUCGGCCAGGGAUGUGCUCGCGGCCUAUCAGCUUGUUGGUGGGGUAAUGGCCUACCAAGGCUUCGACGGGUAGCCGGCCUGAGAGGGUGAGCGGACACACUGGGACUGAGACACGGCCCAGACUCCUACGGGAGGCAGCAGUGGGGAAUAUUGGACAAUGGGCGGAAGCCUGAUCCCGCAACGCCGCGUGAGGGAUGACGGCCUUCGGGUUGUAAGCCUCUUUCACCACCGACGAAGCGCAAGUGACGGUAGGUGGGGAAGAAGCACCGGCCAACUACGUGCCAGCCGCCGCGGUAAUAC